rnacentral:rRNA from 1 species
AUUGAACGCUGGCGGCGUGCCUAACACAUGCAAGUCGAGCGGCAGCGCGGGAGCAAUCCUGGCGGCGAGCGCGGACGGGUGAGUAAUGCUUGGGAAUCUGCCUGUUAGUGGGGGACAACCCGGGGAAACUCGGGCUAAUACCGCAUACGCACUACGGUGGAAAGCCGGGGACCGCAAGGCCUGGCGCUAACAGAUGAGCCCAAGUCGGAUUAGCUAGUUGGUAGGGUAACGGCCACCAAGGCGACGAUCCGUAACUGGUCUGAGAGGACGACCAGUCACACCGGAACUGAGACACGGUCCGGACUCCUACGGGAGGCAGCAGUGGGGAAUAUUGGACAAUGGGGGAAACCCUGAUCCAGCGACGCCGCGUGGGUGAAGAAGGCCUGCGGGUUGUAAAG